AGCAGCCGCGGUAAUUCCAGCUCCAAUAGCGUAUAUUAAAGUUGUUGCAGUUAAAAAGCUCGUAGUUGAACUUCAGGCCUGUCCAGACGGUCCGCCUUAAUUGGUGUGUACUGUCCUUGGGUGGGUCCUACCUUCUGGCGAAGCGGCAUGGCCUUAAUUGGUUGUGUCGGGGAACCAGGACUUUUACUGUGAAAAAAUUAGAGUGUUCAAAAGCAGGCAAAUAUGCUCGAAUACAUUAGCAUGGAAUAAUGGAAUAGGACGAUGGUUCUAUUUUGUUGGUUCUAGGACCGUUGUAAUGAUUAAUAGGGAUAGUUGGGGGCAUUAGUAUUCAAUUGUCAGAGGUGAAAUUCUUGGAUUAUUGAAGACUAACUACUGCGAAAGCAUUUGCCAAGGAUGUUUUCUAUUAAUUCAAGAAACGAAAGUUAAGGGGUAUCGAAGACGAUCAGAUACCGUCGUAGUCUUAAACCAUAAACUAUGCCGACUAGGAAAUCGGGCGAUGUUGACAAAAUAGAACUGCUCG
rnacentral:rRNA from 1 species